rnacentral:rRNA from 1 species
CGGGGUGCAGCAGGCGCGAAAACUUUACAAUGCUGGCAACAGCGAUAAGGGGACCUUGAGUGCCAGGAUACAAUCCUGGCUGUCGUGAUGCCUAAAAAGCAUUAUAUAGCAAGGGCCGGGCAAGACCGGUGCCAGCCGCCGCGGUAACACCGGCGGCUCGAGUGGUAACUGCUAUUAUUGGGUCUAAAGGGUCUGUAGCCGGCUUGGUUAGUCUCUUGGGAAAUCCGGCAGCUUAACUGUCGGGCUUUCAGGAGAUACUGCCAGGCUCGAGACCGGGAGAGGUGAGAGGUACUUCAUGGGUAGGGGUGAAAUCUUGUAAUCCUUGGAGGACCACCAGUGGCGAAGGCGUCUCACCAGAACGGAUCUGACGGCAAGGGACGAAAGCUAGGGGCACGAACCGGAUUAGAUACCCGGGUAGUCCUAGCCGUAAACGAUACUCGCUAGGUGUCGGCCACGGUGCGACCGUGGUCGGUGUCGUAGGGAAGCCGUGAAGCGAGCCACCUGGGAAGUACGGCCGCAAGGCUGAAACUUAAAGGAAUUGGCGGGGGAGCAC